CUACGGGACGCUCCAGUGGGGAAUAUUGCACAAUGGGCGCAAGCCUGAUGCAGCAACGCCGCGUGAGGGAUGAAUGCCUUCGGGUUGUAAACCUCUUUUAGCAGGGAAGAAGCGAGAGUGACGGUACCUGCAGAAAAAGCACCGGCUAACUACGUGGCCAGCAGCCGCGGUAAUACGUAGGGUGCAAGCGUUGUCCGGAAUUAUUGGGCGUAAAGAGCUCGUAGGCGGUUUGUCACGUCUGCUGUGAAAAUCCAAGGCUCAACCUUGGACUUGCAGUGGGUACGGGCAGGCUAGAGUGCGGUAGGGGAGAUGGGAAUUCCUGGUGUAGCGGUGGAAUGCGCAGAUAUCAGGAGGAACACCAAUGGCGAAGGCACAUCUCUGGGCCGUAACUGACGCUGAGGAGCGAAAGCGUGGGGAGCGAACAGGAUUAGAUACCCCAGUAGUC
rnacentral:rRNA from 1 species